UACGUAGGGUGCGAGCGUUUAAUCGGAAUUACUGGGCGUAAAGCGUGCGCAGGCGGUUCGUUGUGUCGGCGGUGAAAGCCCCGGGCUUAACCUGGGAAUGGCCGUCGAAACUGGCGAACUGGAGUGUGGCAGAGGGGGGUGGAAUUCCGCGUGUAGCAGUGAAAUGCGUAGAGAUGCGGAGGAACACCGAUGGCGAAGGCAGCCCCCUGGGCUGACACUGACGCUCAGGCACGAAAAGCGUGGGGGAGCAAACAGG
rnacentral:rRNA from 1 species